rnacentral:rRNA from 1 species
UACGGGGGGGGCAAGCGUUGUUCGGAAUUACUGGGCGUAAAGGGCGCGUAGGCGGCCUGCUAAGUCGGACGUGAAAUCCCUCGGCUCAACCGGGGAACUGCGUCCGAUACUGGUGGGCUCGAAUCCGGGAGAGGGAUGUGGAAUUCCAGGUGUAGCGGUGAAAUGCGUAGAUAUCUGGAGGAACACCGGUGGCGAAGGCGGCAUCCUGGACCGGCAUUGACGCUGAGGCGCGAAAGCCAGGGGAGCGACGGG